AUAUAUAUAUCAUGAACGAUUGCUCCGUAAAGAGGACAUGGUGCUCGAGUUCAGUUUGGUUUCCGUCGGUGAUGCGUUAA